rnacentral:ribozyme from 1 species
UAAAAAGAUGGAGAGACAAACAACAAACAGAGAGAGACAGGUAGACGGCCAGUAUUGUUAUUGUUAUUGUUAUUGUUAUUAUUACUAUUAUUAUUAUUUCAUUCCUUCAU